GGACAAACGCGGGGGCGUGCUUAACACUGCAAGUCGAACGAUGAAGCCUAGCUUACUAGGUGGAUUAGUGGCGAACGGGUGAGUAAUACGUGAGUAACCUACCUUUAACUCUGGGAUAAGCCUGGGAAACUGGGUCUAAUACCGGAUACGACCAAUCUCCGCAUGGGGUGUUGGUGGAAGCGUUAUGUAGUGGUUAUAGAUGGGCUCACGGCCUAUCAGCUUGUUGGUGAGGUAACGGCUCACCAAGGCGACGACGGGUAGCCGGCCUGAGAGGGUGACCGGCCACACUGGGACUGAGACACGGCCCAGACUCCUACGGGAGGCAGCAGUGGGGAAUAUUGCACAAUGGGCGCAAGCCUGAUGCAGCGACGCCGCGUGAGGGAUGACGGCCUUCGGGUUGUAAACCUCUGUUAGCAGGGAAGAAGAGAGAUUGACGGUACCUGCAGAGAAAGCGCCGGCUAACUACGUGCCAGCAGCCGCGGUAAUACGUAGGGCGCGAGCGUUGUCCGGAAUUAUUGGGCGUAAAGAGCUUGUAGGCGGUUUGUCGCGUCUGCUGUGAAAGGCCGGAGCUUAACUCCGUGUAUUGCAGUGGGUACGGGCAGACUAGAGUGCAGUAGGGGAGACUGGAAUUCCUGGUGUAGCGGUGGAAUGCGCAGAUAUCAGGAGGAACACCGAUGGCGAAGGCAGGUCUCUGGGCUGUAACUGACGCUGAGAAGCGAAAGCAUGGGGAGCGAACAGG
rnacentral:rRNA from 1 species